rnacentral:miRNA from 1 species
UAUAGAUCAGUGGCUGAGCGAGCGCGCGGGGGUGCUUGGGGAAUCCCGUCGUGUGUUGACCUAGCACCCCCGCGCGCUCGCUCUCUUAGCCACUGAUCUAUAUA